ACGGAGAGUUUGAUCCUGGCUCAGGAUGAACGCUGGCGGCGUGCUUAACACAUGCAAGUCGAACGAACCUUCGGGUUAGUGGCGGACGGGUGAGUAACGCGUGGGAAUCUGCCCUCAGGAGGGGGAUAACGGUUGGAAACGGCCGCUAAUACCCCAUAUGCCGAGAGGUGAAAUGAAUUUCGCCUGAGGAUGAGCCCGCGUCUGAUUAGCUAGUUGGUGAGGUAAGAGCUCACCAAGGCAUCGAUCAGUAGCUGGUCUGAGAGGAUGAUCAGCCACACUGGGACUGAGACACGGCCCAGACUCCUACGGGAGGCAGCAGUGGGGAAUUUUCCGCA
rnacentral:rRNA from 11 species